rnacentral:rRNA from 1 species
AGUGAACGCUGGCGGUAGGCCUAACACAUGCAAGUCGAACGGCAGCACAGUAAGAGCUUGCUCUUACGGGUGGCGAGUGGCGGACGGGUGAGGAAUACAUCGGAAUCUACUUUUUCGUGGGGGAUAACGUAGGGAAACUUACGCUAAUACCGCAUACGACCUACGGGUGAAAGCAGGGGAUCUUCGGACCUUGCGCGAUUGAAUGAGCCAAUGUCGGAUUAGCUAGUUGGCGGGGUAAAGGCCCACCAAGGCGACGAUCCGUAGCUGGUCUGAGAGGAUGAUCAGCCACACUGGAACUGAGACACGGUCCAGACUCCUACGGGAGGCAGCAGUGGGGAAUAUUGGACAAUGGGCGCAAGCCUGAUCCAGCCAUACCGCGUGGGUGAAGAAGGCCUUCGGGUUGUAAAGCCCUUUUGUUGGGAAAGAAAAGCAGCAGGUUAAUACCCCGCUGUUCUGACGGUACCCCAAGAAUAAGCACCGGCUAACUUCGUG